CCUACGGGAUGCAGCAGUGGGGAAUCUUGCGCAAUGGGCGAAAGCCUGACGCAGCCAUGCAGCGUGAAUGAUGAAGGUCUUAGGAUUGUAAAAUUCUUUCACCGGGGACGAUAAUGACGGUACCCGGAGAAGAAGCCCCGGCUAACUUCGCGCCAGCAGCCGCGGUAAUACGAAGGGGGCUAGCGUUGCUCGGAAUUACUGGGCGUAAAGGGCGCGUAGGCGGAUCGUUAAGUCAGAGGUGAAAUCCCGGAGCUCAACUUCGGAACUGCCUUUGAUACUGGCGAUCUUGAGUAUGAGAGAGGUAUGUGGAACUCCGAGUGUAGAGGUGAAAUUCGUAGAUAUUCGGAAGAACACCAGUGGCGAAGGCGACAUACUGGCUCAUUACUGACGCUGAGGCGCGAGAGCGUGGGGAGCAAACAGGAUUAGAUACCCUCGUAGUC
rnacentral:rRNA from 1 species